UACAGAGGUCUCAAGCGUUGUUCGGAUUCAUUGGGCGUAAAGGGCGUGUAGGCGGCGCCGUAAGUCGGGUGUGAAAUUUCGGAGCUUAACUCCGAAACUGCAUUCGAUACUGCGGUGCUUGAGGACUGGAGAGGAGACUGGAAUUCAUGGUGUAGCAGUGAAAUGCGUAGAGAUCAUGAGGAAGACCAGUGGCGAAGGCGGGUCUCUGGACAGUUCCUGACAUUGAGACACGAAGGCCAGGGGAGCAAACGGG
rnacentral:rRNA from 1 species